rnacentral:rRNA from 1 species
CCUACGGGAGGCUGCAGUGGGGAAUAUUGCACAAUGGGCGCAAGCCUGAUGCAGCCAUGCCGCGUGUGUGAAGAAGGCCUUCGGGUUGUAAAGCACUUUCAGCGGGGAGGAAGGCGGUGAGGUUAAUAACCUCAUCGAUUGACGUUACCCGCAGAAGAAGCACCGGCUAACUCCGUGCCAGCAGCCGCGGUAAUACGGAGGGUGCAAGCGUUAAUCGGAAUUACUAGGCGUAAAGCGCACGCAGGCGGUCUGUCAAGUCGGAUGUGAAAUCCCCGGGCUCAACCUGGGAACUGCAUUCGAAACUGGCAGGCUAGAGUCUUGUAGAGGGGGGUAGAAUUCCAGGUGUAGCGGUGAAAUGCGUAGAGAUCUGGAGGAAUACCGGUGGCGAAGGCGGCCCCCUGGACAAAGACUGACGCUCAGGUGCGAAAGCGUGGGGAGCAAACAGGAUUAGAUACCCGAGUAGUC